CCUACGGGAGGCAGCAGUGAGGAAUAUUGGUCAAUGGCCGGAAGGCUGAACCAGCCAUGCCGCGUGAAGGUCAGUGCCCUAUGGGCGUUAAACUUUUUUUGUGCGGGAGCAAUAAUGGUCACGUGUGGCCAGACGAGAGUACCGUACGAAAAAGCAUCGGCUAACUACGUGCCAGCAGCCGCGGUAAUACGGGGGAUGCAAGCGUUAUCCGGAUUUAAUGGGUUUAAAGGGUGCCUAUGCUGUGAGGUAAGUCAGGGGUGAAAUGCCCCCGCUCAACGGGGUGAAGUGCCAUUGAUACUGCCUUGCUGGAAUGCGGAUGCCGUGGGAGGAAUGUGUGGUGUAGCGGUGAAAUGCAUAGAUAUCACACAGAACACCGAUUGCGAAGGCAUCUCACGAAUCCGCGAUUGACGCUGAUGCACGAAAGCGUGGGUAUCAAACAGGAUUAGAUACCCGAGUAGUC
rnacentral:rRNA from 1 species